AUGCGGCUGGACGAUGCAUGUUGCAGGAUCACAGAUAGUGCAGGCAUUGGUGGUAAUCUGCUUCUACUUUUUGUAUGGAGCUGGGAGCGUCUGCCUGUUGGACGCCCGAAGAGCGUUAGGUUUAAUCCUUGGUAUGAAGAUGAACAUGACGAAUUACGGCGCCCCACUUGGGCUUACAAGUGGGAUGUGGUAUCCGAGAUGACGAACGAUGUCAAUCUCAUGUACCAAAAGUACAUUGCCGAGUUGGACACAAUUACGCAUGAGUAG
rnacentral:rRNA from 1 species